rnacentral:rRNA from 1 species
AUACAGAGGGUGCGAGUGUUAAUCGGAAUUACUGGGCGUAAAGCGCGCGUAGGCGGUCUAUUAAGUCAGAUGUGAAAUCCCAGGGCUCAACCUUGGAACUGCAUCUGAUACUGGUAGACUAGAGUUUUGGAGAGGGAAGUAGAAUUUCAGGUGUAGCGGUGAAAUGCAUAGAGAUCUGAAGGAAUACCAGUGGCGAAGGCGACUUCCUGGCCAAAAACUGACGCUGAGGUGCGAAAGCGUGGGUAGCAAACGGGAUUAGAUACCCUAGUAGUCC